rnacentral:rRNA from 1 species
AUUGAACGCUGGCGGCAUGCUUUACACAUGCAAGUCGAACGGUAACAGGGUGCUUGCACCGCUGACGAGUGGCGAACGGGUGAGUAAUGCGUCGGAACGUGCCGAGUAGUGGGGGAUAACGCAGCGAAAGUUGUGCUAAUACCGCAUACGUACUGAGGUAGAAAGUGGGGGACCUUCGGGCCUCACGCUAUUCGAGCGGCCGACGUCUGAUUAGCUAGUAGGUGAGGUAAAGGCUCACCUAGGCGACGAUCAGUAGCGGGUCUGAGAGGAUGACACGCCACGCUGGGAGUGAGACACGGCCCAGACUCCGACGGGAGGCAGCAGUGGGGAAUUUUGGACAGGGGGCGAAAGCCUGAUCCAGCCAUGCCGCGUGUCUGAAAAAGGCCUUCGGGUUGUAAAGGACUUUUGUCAGGGAGGAAAUCCCUAGUGCUAAUAACACUGGGGGAUGACAGUACCUGAAGAACAAGCACCGGCUAACUACGUGCCAGCCGCCGCGGUAA